UACAGAGGGGGCUAGCGUUAUUCGGAAUUAUUGGGCGUAAAGGGCGCGUAGGCGGCCCAGCGUGUCCUCCGUGAAAUCCCUCGGCUUAACUGAGGACGUGCGGAAGAAACUGCGGGGCUCGAGUCCGGGAGAGGGGGGUAGAAUUCCACGUGUAGCAGUGAAAUGCGUAGAUAUGUGGAGGAAUACCGAUGGCGAAGGCAGCCCCCUGGGUCAACACUGACGCUCAUGCACGAAAGCGUGGGGAGCAAACAGG
rnacentral:rRNA from 1 species